AAAAAACAUAAACUUAUAUAGCAAAUAUCGGGAUUGUCAUUUUUCGCGGAACUUUCACUUUCCGCGAAAAACCAAUGCCAGCAUGGCCAUAAAACACUACAUACAAAUCGAAAUCUAAAAAGCGCGGAACUUUCAUAUAUUUUCCGUCGGAGCAAUUAUUUUUCAACCCUGUAGAAAAAGCGGGCUCAAUUAAUCGCGCGGAACGUUAUUUAUCUACUCUGUACAAAUAGUAGUGUUUAAAAUCGCGCGGAGAUUGUAGAAUGCUAUUUUAAGAAGUCUAUUAAAGAGAGAAAAUCCAGUAAAUACCAGAUCCAAAAAGCGCGGAACACAAAUAUCGUCCGCGAAAAUUAAGCAUUGAAUUACUGUACAAAUCUCGGGUUGUUAGGUGUUAGAAUCCCUAGUUACCCGAAAAAUUUGAUUGGAUCCGAUACUUAGAAAUAACCAAUCAGAUACUUUGUAACAAAUGCAACACAAUCAGUGCGUUGUUUCAAGAUGGCGGAGCGAAUUGCAUGGUUAUUGUUUCUACUCGAUGGAUUCGCAGAUAAUUCGGAAAUAGAUCAGAUUGGGAUCAAUAACUGUAUUGCAUACGAUCAUUUACAUGUAUUACCAGGUGUGUGUUGCCAGUAAUGGUUGAAGAUAUGCCAAACAAAUUGUGCCUCUCUAUACAGACAGAUUUCAGGUCUCAAUUUCGACUUCAAAGGUCAACAUAUCACUGAUAUCAGGAAUUCUGUACAACUGUGGAACCAUGUAUGGUACGUGACCGCACAAUGUUGGUUGGCAAAAGGAUAUUGGAAUAAGCAAAGGGACUCAACAUUACACAGUCAUUUCAACAUGUAGAGUCUUGUCAGCAAUGAUGGAGCAGUACUUCAGAUUUCCAGAAUCUCGUCAUGAGCUGAAGAUCAUUGCCUAUGAAUUUCCUGAAUGAUGUAGAAUGAUUGGACUGUUGAUGGAACCCACAGUGCAUGUCCUGCUUCAACAUCUGAGCAUAGGUCCUUGUUUAUCAGCAGUUUAGUUCUUCAAGCAGUCUGUGACAGUUACUUGAAAUGUUUGGACAUAUGACCUGGAUGGCCAAGUUCUGUGCAUGAUGCCCAUUUAAAUAGGAACGGCCCAGUGGCGCAUUAAAUGGACAUUUUUCGAAUGUUCUCAAGGAUUCAGCUUACCGCCUGACAAGAAAUCUUGCUUUUUGUUCAGUAUCGAGGCCAUGGACAUUUGUAUCAUUUGCAAAAGAUACUGCGAUAUUUGUGCCUUUGUUCAUGCUUUAUAGUUGAUUAACAAUUGGAAGCCAUAACCUGUUUUUAAGAUGGUGUUAGUGGGACAAUGAAUUUUGUAAAGAUUUAAAGACUGGAAAAGAUAAUUAAAAGUCAAAAGAGUUCUGCUAUUGUUAAGCAUGCUUUAUUGAUUUGUAAUGUUAGAAAGAUAGCAUUAUUAACAGAAUAAAAUGUCCAUAAUUUGAAUAUUCUACUGUUUUCAGCAACAUUUAAUUUGAUAUAGUACAAAAUGCUGCAUCAUGUUAUAUCAUGAUCUGUUUUGUGAACAAUGACCUUUCAAUGUAUAUUUAAUAAUUUGUCAAUGGGUGUUACACGCAUAAGCCCUACCAUUAGCCCAAAAAGGAAUUGCUUAGGAGUUUUGCCACCUUCUAGAGAAAAAUACUUCUCAGAAACAAUUGCAUUUUGGAAAGUCUAUGGCUAUAAAAUUUGGAUUCCUUUUGGAUACCCAAGGUUACCAAUUUAUGUUUAAUAAAUUUGCAAUAAAAAGCUUUGACAGAACAUAAUGUCACAGAGUCGAACACGUGUAUGGAAUAAAGUGGAAGUUGAUUAAAUGAGUAAUACACAUUA